AUGCACUGGGUCUCUUGGAAAGAACUUGCUUCACCCAAGUGCAAUGGAGGUAUGGGGUUACGCGAUAUGCCACUCUUCAAUCUUGCAUUUCUUGGAAAACAUGGAUGGAGACUCAUGACCAAACCUAAUUCCCUGUGUGCUCGGGUCUUGAAGGGCCGCUACUUCCCUGACACUGAUUUCUUACAUGCAUCGGUGCCCAAGUCUGCUUCGGCGACAUGACGUGCAAUCAUAGCAGGAAGAGAGGCACUUAAUGCUAGUCUGAUCAAGAGGGUUGGAGACAGAGUUCUAUUUCAGUCUGGACGGACAAAUGGAUCAGAAACUACAAUGAUGACUCCAUUGUCUAGACCACCAGCGACUAAUGUUGAAUAUGUGUCGGUUCUUAUUGACACAGAUAAUUGGACAUGGAAUCAACAACUGGUUCGAGAUUCUUUUAUCGCACCUGAUGCUGCAGCUAUUCUUAAUAUACCGCUACGGCAGGGAGGCGGUGAAGAUUGCUAUGCUUGGGCCUUUGAUCCCUCAGGCAACGGCACUGUAAAAACGGUGUACCGUAUUCUAGUGACUCAAAAAGAGCAAUCUGCUCUCGAGGAAGGGACGGCUAACUAA
rnacentral:rRNA from 1 species